rnacentral:rRNA from 1 species
CCUACGGUGAGCAGCAGUGGGGGAUAUUGCACAAUGGGGGAAACCCUGAUGCAGCGACGCCGCGUGUGGGAAGACGGUCCUCUGGAUUGUAAACCACUGUCCCCAGGGGCGAAGAUGACGGUACCUGGGGAGGAAGCUCCGGCUAACUACGUGACAGCAGCCGCGGUAAUACGUAGGGAGCGAGCGUUGUCCGGAAUUACUGUGUGUAAAGGGAGCGUAGGCGGGACUGCAAGUUGGGUGUCAAAUCUACCGGCUCAACCGGUAGCCGCACUCAAAACUGCAGUGCUUGAGUGAAUUAGAGGCAGGCGGAAUUCCUAGUGUAGCGGUGAAAUGCGUAGAUAUUAGGAGGAACACCAGUGGCGAAGGCGGCCUGCUGGGCUUUUACUGACGCUGAGGCUCGAAAGUGUGGGGAGCAAACAGGAUUAGAUACCCCGGUAGUC